AUGUGCCGAGGCAAAAGGGUGGAUGGAAAGAUUAUGUCCCAAGACCACAGCCAACUCACGUCCAAGUUCAUCGCUUACAGGCUCUCCAACUCAAUAUCCACACUUCCAACAAUGAGCGUCCAACAUGUCGUUGACCUUGUGAAAGCCAUCUUUCAUUACAAGGUGAAGUACGGCAAGGCAUGGAAGGAAAAGCAAGCCGCAUUUAAGAUGUUGUAUGGUACUUGGAAGGAAGCAUACAACCGAAUCCCUAGGUUGUUGUUAGCCAUGGCCGCCACAAACCCGGGCAUGGUUCAUGUUGUCGAGCCUCAUGGGCACCAAACAACGGUUUAUGAAGGAAAGAAAGUCCGAGUAUUUGGCCGUGCAUUUUGGGCGUUCGAGCAAUGCGUGAAGGCUUUCGAACACUGUAGGCCGGUCAUCGCCAUUGAUGGCACGUUCUUGACCGGACAAUACAAGGGGACCUUGUUGGUUGCGAUAGCAAGUGAUGCCAAUAACCGGGUGUUGCCAUUGGCAUUUGCUUUGGUUGAGGCGGAGAACAAUGACAACUGGGAGUGGUUUUUGCGUCUUUUGAGGACGAAGGUGUUACCCGAUCAAAGGGAAAUUUGUGUCAUAUCGGAUCGGCAUGCAGGAAUUCUUAACACGGUGGAGAUUGACAUUCCCGGGCAUGCUCCGUUAAACUAUGAUCUUCGUUUUGGUUGUGAACUACUAUGUGUCAUGAACUACCAUCUCUCCUCCUUGAUUUGGUUGUGA
rnacentral:rRNA from 1 species